GAUUGCAGGCUGCAACCCGCCCUGCAUGAAGUCGGAAUUGCUAGUAAUCGCGGAUCAGCAUGCCGCGGUGAACACGUUCCCGGGCCUUGUACACACCGCCCGUCACACCAUGGGAGCCGGUAAUACCCGAAGUCCAGUAGUCCAACCUCGUGAGGACGCUGCCGAAGGUAGGAUUGGCACGUGGGGUGAAGUCGUAACAAGGUACC
rnacentral:rRNA from 1 species